rnacentral:rRNA from 1 species
GAUGAACGCUGGCGGCGUGCCUAAUACAUGCAAGUCGAGCGAAGCGGGGAAGGGUGAGUAACACGUGGAUAACCUCCUAUAAGACUGGGAUAACUUCGGGAAACCGGAGCUAAACCGGAUACUUAUCGUUGGAUCCGCGCGGCAUUAGCUAGUUGGUAAGGUAACGGCCUACAAAGGCAACGAUGCAUAGCCGACCUGAGAGGGUGAUCGGCCACACGGGAACUGAGAAACGGUCCAGACUCCACCGGAAGGCAGCGGUAGGGAAUCUUCCGCAAUGGGCGAAAGCCUGACGGGGCAACGCCGCGGGAGUGAGGAAGGUCUUCGGAUCGUAAAACUCUGUUAUUAGGGAAGCGGUACCUAAUCAGAAAGCAACGGCUAACUACGUGCCAGCAGCCGCGGUAAUAC